rnacentral:snoRNA from 1 species
ACUUCAUGAUUUGGGCAUUGGGCUAAUUUUCCAUUAAACCGUUUCCAUGCUUCAAACAACUGGAGCUAUUGGCACUAUUGAAAUU